UUUUAGCAAAUUUGAUGCAAUGUGUUUGAAUUUCAUUUCUAAUUGCUAAAAUUUUUACAUGUUAAUUUUUUUAAAAUUUCACUUUUAAAAUUAUUUUCCAGGAUAAAUUCCUGUUUUAUUAUGGCAUGUGCGUCAACCAGUGAGUUGAGCAGAUGACAAUUUUUCUGUUAUCUUGGUAACAUCAUAUUAUCCAGUGACCAACACUAUUUAGUUUUCAUUCAUUAACAACUUAAUUUCUCCUUGAAAUGUUUUUUAAUGAUUGAUAUAAACAUUGUGAGGAAAAUGUAUUUUAUUUUCAUAUAUUUAUUUUUGAAACCUUUAUUUAUUUUGUUAUAAACUUAAAUGUUCUUAGAUGCCGCCCUUUUAUUUAGAUGCUAUAGAGUUUUUACUUUUAAGUAAAUCUUAUUUUUUCAAAGCAUUUUAUAUGAAAAAGAGACCCAUAAACUAACUGGAUUGUAAAGACAUCACUUGGUGGCUUAGUCACCGAAUAACCAACUCUAGACAGAUCAGGAUGGCAACUCAAUAGAAGCUUAUGUUAGUCUAUUUGGCAAAUACUAGACAACUCCAAGGAUAAUUAGGUUUUAUUAGGCAUCACUAUACAAGCCAAAGUAGUGAUGAAUUGCUAUAGAGUUGUACAAUACCGUACGAGUGAGUGAGAGAUUUAUCAUAUUAAAAAAAAUCAUUGAAGUUAAUUUCUUAGAGAUGCCAUCCACAUGAAAAACAAUAGUUAAUUUAGUGUUAGAUAUGUAUAAUGUAUCAUGCAUUAAAAUCCUAAUUGGAAAUAUUUAUGCAGUGGUGGUUUUGUGGAAUAAUACAACUGGAAUAUUGUUACAUAUAUGUGACAAUAAGUAAGCUGUGAAAUCUAUGCUCUGUUUUGGAAGUCUUACAAAGAUUAAUAUAUGACAAGAGCUAAGUCUAUUUUGGCAAACACCAGAAACAACUUCAAACUUUUAUGAAGGGCUACAAGCCAUAGCUGCUUGUCAGGCACUCCAUUUGAUUUAACCCAGUUCAUCUCUGUAUAAAUAUUCCUUUAAAAAAAAUUCUAUCUGUUAUUAGGACAUUUUUCCACUUGAGAUUUUUAUCUUAGUUUAGAGUUCUUUAAGUAUUCUAUACAUAGAUUAAAUAUCAGCAGCUUAUAAAGUGCUAAAUAGCAAGAAUAACACAACGAACCUGAUAGAGAAAAUAAGCAUCUAUUUAGUAUAUUAUUGAUUAUAAAUACAAACCUAUUUACCUCAUACAGGUUUUAUAUUCUAUUAGGAAAUGCAAAAUGAAAAAUAAAUAGUGGGGGAAUGGUAUGCAUAAGACAAUUUAAUUAAAUCAACUCAUUUAAUGUGGUUUGAAAGUUUCUGCAAUCUCCAGUAUGGUUAUUGAAAAAAUUUUAAGAAUAUUUAAGUUACUGUUGGUCAUUGGGAUAAAUAAACGCCAUUAUAAACGGGUUUCUGUCCUCAGCCAGGGAAGUUGAACAGAGCUCAUUAUUUGAUCUGAUUUUAUUCAGAAUAAAUUAUAAAGAAAGAGAUAUACAGAAAAUCAUAUAUUUUGAUACAGAAUUUUAUCCCAAAUUGUUAUGUAUUUAUUUUCAUCCCAAUUUUGUCUUUACUUUAAAAAUAAAGUGAUAAGAAAAAAAA
rnacentral:lncRNA from 1 species